rnacentral:rRNA from 1 species
AUUGAAUGCUGGCGGCAUGCUUUACACAUGCAAGUCGAACGGUAACAGGUUAAGCUGACGAGUGGCGAACGGGUGAGUAAUGCAUCGGAACGUGCCCGGUCGUGGGGGAUAACGCAGCGAAAGCUGCGCUAAUACCGCAUACGAUCUGAGGAUGAAAGCGGGGGACCGGAAGGCCUCGCGCGAUCGGAGCGGCCGAUGUCAGAUUAGGUAGUUGGUGGGGUAAAGGCUCACCAAGCCAACGAUCUGUAGCUGGUCUGAGAGGACGACCAGCCACACUGGGACUGAGACACGGCCCAGACUCCUACGGGAGGCAGCAGUGGGGAAUUUUGGACAAUGGGCGAAAGCCUGAUCCAGCAAUGCCGCGUGCAGGAAGAAGGCCUUCGGGUUGUAAACUGCUUUUGUACGGAGCGAAAAGGUCUCCUCUAAUACAGGGGGCUCAUGACGGUACCGUAAGAAUAAGCACCGGCUAACUACGUGCCAGCAGCCGCGGUAA